ensembl:lncRNA
CCCCACCCCAGACCAGACCGGGCUUGGCCCCCGGCCGCGGCCACGGCCGCGACCCCUCCGUCCGCAGCUCUCCGUGCGGCUCUGCCCGCCGCAGCGCUCUCUGUGCCACGGGCGGUGCUCCCGAGACAGGCAAGGCUCUCCCCCUCCUUUCCUCCCUCCCUCCCCUGUGCCGCCGUCUCUGUCGCUGUUUACCCUUGCAAAUAGCCGAUGGUUAUCGAUGAGAGGCUCGGGAGCAGCCCCGGGAGGGACGAGAGAUUGUCUGGAGACCCUCCUGCUGCUCCCUGAGCGGUGGAUACGGCCGGGAGCGGGCAGGGGAGGCGGGGAGGGCUCUAAAUCGCUGCUCGCGUCUGCCUAGACCCGCGGGUCCGGGGAGAGGACGGGGUGUCCCAGGAGGGAGGGGACGUGAGACGCUGCCUAUGAGCGGUGACACGUGCUGGCACCUGAGCCACCGACCCCACCCCGGGGGGAUCCCAGGUGUCCAUCCAACAGGUGGCCUACUGGGCUCGACGAGCGUUGCCAAGUUGCCGCGCGUCCCGCUGACGCCAGAAUCGGUCUCAUUUCCCGCAGAGCUAUGCGAGUAUACAUUUGGGGAUCUCCUCCCGCUCCACCUUCCCCCCGGUCACCUCCAGUCUCCCAGCCGAUACCUGAUCGUGCAGCAGCUGAGAUACAGGUUGGCAGAGGGCAGCGCCAGAAGCUGGCAGAUGAUUUCACAUCUCCCCCACGCCCUGCGAGAGAACUGGCGAAGCAACAUGGCGUUGUGAAAGUGGACGACAAUUGGCGAUCACGGGCAGGCAGCGGGGAUCUUCCUCGCCCACAAUGAGAAGGAAGCGGCUUGGAGCGGGGACACGGAGCUGGCACAGCGGCAGGAAAGCGGCCUCGGGUUGCGUGCAAGAGUCGGCGGAAUUUCUUCCUUUAGGUAUCCGUGCUCAGGUCCAGGGGGCACGCCUGGCUAGAGACGGACCUUCAUUGUUCGGCCGCUCGUUAUUCUGCAUGUCACAGAGGUUGCUACGAGACCACUCCCUUUUCUCCGUGCCACUAUUUGACUAAAUAUACUUUGGCUCCCGGGACGUUGCGAAUUGUCUUCAGAGCGUGGGAACCCCGGCGUGUGCCCUCAGCUCCGCUCAGCCGCUUGGCACCGCCGCCGCUCCUUCUCCCCGGGUAUCUCGGGCUGCUCCUGCCGGGCGGGGGCUCUCCUCCUGCCCCGGAGACAAUGAGAGAGCCCGGCCCAUUGUCUCGGCUCAGCACAGCGCCGCGCGUGGGUCCGGGGACGCGGGUGGCGGUGCCAGGCUGUGCCCAGGUGGGAGCCGCCGUGUGCGGGGUCGCCGGGAACCGGCUCCCCCAGGCGCGUCCUGGAGAACCGCGGGGCUCAAAAGCAGAGAACCGGGUCGGUUCCAGAAGAGAGAACGUGUUGGAAGCGCAGUCAGCUGUCGGAUAUUUAAGAAUGGGAUUUAGCCUUCAGCAGGGCCACAUAUGUAAGUGCUUAUCUAAAGAAGACAUAAAAUACAAUCAGCUUUGGAAAAAUUCAUGAUUCAGCAAAAAUAAAGGGAGUAAUAUAUUUACCCGGAGAUGCA